rnacentral:rRNA from 2 species
GACAGGUUUUUAAAGGUUAACUUUAUAUUUAAAUUGUCUUGGCCAAAUCUUGUGCCAGCAGUCGCGGUAAGACAAGGAAGACUAGCGUUUUUCAUCUUUAUUAGGUUUAAAGGGUACCUAGACGGUCUAUUCAGCCUUGAAAAGGGAAACGGAUAAGACUAGAGUUAAAUGUGGGAGGUUAAUUUAGAAUUGAAAGAGGAGAGAUAGAAUUUUUUUAUACUUUCAAGACUGAUAAUGGUGAAAACAAUCCUCUAUGUACUAACUGACGUUGAGGGACGAAGGCAUGGUUAUCGAAUAGGAUUAGAUACCCUAAUAGUCCAUGCAGAAAAUGAUGAGUGUCAUAAAUAAUAAGACUAAUUAACCAUAAAGGUUAAAAUUAGUUUGAUGUUUAUAAAUGAAAGUGUAAGCAUUCCACCUCAAGAGUACUACGGCAACGUAUAAACUGAAAUCAUUAGACCGUUUCUGAAACCAGUAGUGAAGUAUGUUAUUUAAUUCGAUGACCCCCGAAAAACCUUACCUCAAUUUGUAUUAUAAUGUUAAAGCAUUAUAACAAGCGUUGCACGGCUGUCUUCAGUUAAUGUCGUGAGAUCUGGUUAACCCCUUGAAUUAACGCAAGCCCUAUAUUUAUUUAGCUAUAUAAAUAUUUAUCAUUAUAAUGAUGUAUCUCUUUAAAGCCAUAGGCAUUUUAUU